CAGGGAUAGAGAGAACAUUACACUGCAUCAGUUUCUGUCAAGCUCUGCCCAGAGGGUCCCCUACUCCAUAGCAGGGGGAGCCUGGUGAGUCAGAAGUGCCGUCAGCAGGAUGAUGUGGAGGGGGAAAUCUGGUGCUAAUUAUCUCCGAUUCCAGGAAGAGACUCAGCGAAAUGGGAAGGAGUCCACGUGGAGAGAGGAGGGGGAACAUCGUCUCUCAUCUAAAACUCUGUCUCCCGCCACAACUUUAUAUCUACCAUAUUUCUUCUAAAUGAUCUGCUAUUCUUUAACAGGUUUAUUUACUGAAGUGGGAGUUUAAUGUGAAUUCAAAGUGCUUUUCGAAUGUAAGGUCAGAGUGAAAGCAUAGCCGACUUAUUUGACCUAAAAUAUGUUCACUUUAGUGAAUAACCCUGUAAUUGAUAAGAUUGUAAUAAUAGUCGGGGAAGUUACCAGCCUAUUGGCAUGCAAUGUUUGCUAUAUAAGUGCAGUAACCAGAUCUCUCAUUUAUUAGGAAGAAACCAGUGCAGUAUGUAUGUUUUACAAGUGUUCCGAGUAAAAGUUAUUAUUAGCGUUUAUAUAGCACCAACAUAUUCUUCAGCACUUUACAAAUAUAGAAUGGGAAUAUUUAACAAUUGAGAAUAUAACAGAUAUGUAGGGAAGAAGGCCUUGCUCAAAAGAGCUUACAAUCUAUGUUAUCAAAAUGUCAGCGCACUGUUGUAACAAAGCCGCAUUAAUCAGAGUGCAAAAUGAUUGCAGAUCCAUUCAUGCUUUCUUUUCUAUUUGCUUUUGUAGAAUUGGCUGCCUAAAGAGGAUUCUGAUAAAAAUUUUAAAAAGAUCCGCAUGCUUUUUUGUAAGAAGUGAAUAUUCAAGGAUAAAAUUAACAUGUUUGGGAACAGUUUGUUAAUCCGAGGAGAAAUGUGACUGUCAUUACUGGGUGAAAAGGGAGGUUUUUGUUUCUCUUUUUGGGGCAUCAUUAAAAGUUCCUUCAAAUUUGGUUUUGGGAUCAUGUUUUCAAUGAACAGCGCAGAAAGAUUUGUGAAAGUUUGAACUUGGAUUUUUUUUUUUACCUAGAUUGCAAUGUAAAUAGGUAACUUUUAAAAAUGUUUCAAUUAGAAUAUUUAGAAUGUUAUGAGUCCAAACAGCACAUUAUUAAUAAGUAUAAAUAAGUACUAAAAUGUAUUUAGAGUCAUUUCAGCAUAUUUCUUAAGACUGCCAUUUUAAAUGGCACAGUUACGCUUAGUGUUUUAAUUGUUUUUUAACACUGCAUUAUUGCAACACAUACUUGUAUCAUAUUUUGAUAUUUUAAUAAUACACUUCUAACAGGAACAAUGUUUUUUUUUAUAUUUUUAAGUGUAUAUGUACUCCUGGAUUAAGUGUUAGAUCCCCUCAAUCUAGAUCCAUGGUUAAUGAGUGUAAUGUUUAUAGAAGACCUCAAUUCACAUCAUAUGUAAAAAUGACUUACCAUGAGUCCACAUGCUUGCUCACAGCAGCAUACCUUUCUAGAAUAAAAUGACAUUCCAAUCAUAACAAUUUUAUUUAAAUGAAGCUGUUAUGGUGCCAGAAGGCCCCAGAGCCAUAAAACUGGCUUGAAAAGAAACUUACCUUCUUCAAGCCAGUCUUAUGUAUGGGCAGUCACUGAUUGUCUGAGAGCGUCAGCUGACCACUCUAAGCCAGUUAGUGGUGUUCCUUCCUGGCAGAACUCCGCGCUUCCUGUAGCUGAGAUGCACAAGCCAGAUGUCACUUGGGGCACUUGCAGAUUGGCACUGGAGGAACACGUUGGCAUUAAGCUGUUUGAGAAAGGUUUCACCCUUCAAGGUAAGAGUGUGCCGGGUGCCUCCUGGCACCAUAACAACUUAAUUAGCAUGACGUUGUUAUGAUAAACGGAAUGUCCCUUUGACUAAACUUUCGGAUUUAUUCACCAAACUGAAAAUUGACAACUAAAUUGCAAAUUGUAAGCCCCAAUAACUAUUGAUAUAGCUCAACUAUUUGGGCUUAAGACAUGCAAUUCCCUUUUUGAGUUCUCCAUGAUUCCCAAUCUAAUAAGUGAACACCUUUGUGUAUGUACUCUGUCCAACAAAAUGAUGUGCAUCCAUGUAGCAGGUGUAGAAUGAAGCACUGAAGCAUGCAUAAAAAUUAGAUAUUUUGAUUUGCAUGCAGCUGCUUAAAUCCCCUCUCUUAUCAAUCUGCUUGCAAGAUACCUGAGGAAGGAUAGAGUCUUUAUGCCGUGCCUAUUUCCUUAUUGUUAACGCUAAAAGAGAGGACAGCAACUGUGUGCCACGCUGGGAAGAAUUAAUAGAAGCGGUUUUCCUCCACAGACCCCCUGACGUCAGCCCUCUAAGUGCGUGGAGAAUAAUCUAAUGCUAAAACACAUCUGGAUCCAGACACAGAGGGGGCCCCGGAGCAGACACAGGGAGGGAAGAUCUGAGCUUUCCAAAAAAAAGAGCCUGCAGCUCCUGCCAAUAUCCUACACAGAGAUGUAAACAGUCAGGAGCCCAGAAUUGAGGAUGGAGAUUUGUGUCUGAGUAUUAGAUAGAAGAGAAAAACAUGUCGAGAGGAAAGGC